rnacentral:rRNA from 1 species
CUCGUAGGCGGUUUGGUAAGUCGGGUGUGAAAACUCUGGGCUCAACCCAGAGAGGCCACCCGAUACUGCUAUGACUAGAGUACGGUAGGGGAGCGGGGAAUUCAUGGUGUAGCGGUGAAAUGCGCAGAUAUCAUGAGGAACACCAGCGGCGAAGGCGCCGCUCUGGGCCGUAACUGACGCUGAGGAGCGAAAGCGGUGGGUAGCGAACA